rnacentral:misc_RNA from 1 species
CCCUGUCAAGCAAAUGAUAUACUGAUAUAACGUUCCCUGUGAUCCGCAUGCAAAUAAGAGAGAUGCAAGCAACCAAGUGAAAGGUAACAAAUAGAGCGAGUAAGUGUAAUUUCGGAAAAAUUGAGAAAAUCAUGAAAUAUAUUUUUGUAAGCUAUGGUUUUUCUUGUUCCGAGAUGUAAAAUGAGAGAAUGUACAACAUGUCAUGACAAAAGGGCGAAGCGGUACUUGCAGAUAUUCCAUAGUUAAUAGGAAGGAAAAUGAGAAUCCUUUUCUCUGCAUUUUCACGAGGAAGUAGAAAGGCCUUCUCGAGAGUGAAGGGGAGGUAUGCACAUAAACGGGCAACAGUCCGUUCCAAUGAAAUCCAGAGUUGCACGCAACCGUCGAAUUUUUUAUGUUCAUUCUGCAAUAAUCUAUCACACCAGAAUAAGAAUGAAUUGACAAACUUU